CUUUGGGGUGACGGGUGGGGCAAUGGGAUCAGGUGCCUCAGAGGUCAUCCCACCUAAUCCCACAGCCCCACCUGUCACCCCAAAA
rfam:Gorilla gorilla gorilla genomic chromosome, chr8, whole genome shotgun sequence